UGCGUAGGUGGCAGUGCAAGUCAGAUGUGAAAGGCCGGGGCUCAACCCCGGAGCUGCAUUUGAAACUGCAUAGCUAGAGUACAGGAGAGGCAGGCGGAAUUCCUAGUGUAGCGGUGAAAUGCGUAGAUAUUAGGAGGAACACCAGUGGCGAAGGCGGCCUGCUGGACUGUUACUGACACUGAGGCACGAAAGCGUGGGGAGCAAACA
rnacentral:rRNA from 1 species